rnacentral:misc_RNA from 1 species
GAUGAAGAACGUAGCGAAAUGCGAUAAGUAGUGUGAAUUGCAGAAUUCAGUGAAUCAUCGAAUCUUUGAACGCACAUUGCGCCCCUUGGUAUCCCGAGGGGCAUGCCUGUUCGAGCGUCAUUUCACCACUCAAGCCUGGCUUGGUGUUGGGCGACGUCCUCUUUGGGGACGCGCCUCGAAACGCUCGGCGGCGUGGCACCGGCUUUAAGCGUAGCAGAAUCUUUCGCUUUGGAAGUCGGGGCCCCGUCUGCCGGAAGACCUGCUCGCAAGGUUGACCUCGGAUCAGGCAGGGAUACCCGCUGAACUUAAGCAUAUCAAUAAGCGAGGA